UCUGCAAUUUUUUUGGUCGAUAGAUUAUUUCUGUAAAUAUUAAAAAAAAUCUAAAAACGAAAAAAAUUCGUAAGUAGGGAUGCACAUGGGUCGGGUUAACCCAGCUACCCAGCGACCCAGCCCAUGAAACAUGGGGUCAAAACCUCAUGGGCUUACCCAUGAAAUUUCAUGGGUCAUCAUGGGUCGACCCUCAGUGACCCAUGGAGCAUUAUGGGCCGACCCAUUAGCUAGGUUUCAGGUCGAGUACCAGGCGGCACGACCAGCUCCGCCGCCGCCGCAUCGCGCUGGGGCUCUCCGCUCCUCCGCCGCAUCAUGUUGUGGAGCUCCGCCCCUCCGCCGUUGCCGUCUACCAUGGAAGAGCGAGAUGCGCACCCUCAAGAUCGCCGCUUGGAUGCUCCGUUUCUCCUCCCUGCAGCGCCAUGCGCACCCCCAAGAUUGCCGCGUAGCCGCCACCAGCAGACCUCCCAACCGGCCAUAGAAGAAGGGGAUGGAUCAGAUGGGCGGAUGCUCCACCUUUCAGCGCCACACCCAGCAUCACUCUCGCCGCGCCGCCGCCAACGACGGACCUCAACAUGUGUUGAUGCUGCAGAAGGUGGUCAAAGCAUGGAGACCCCUCAGAUCGUUGUUGGUGCUAUACUAUAAAGAAGAUAUACUGCCUCGAGUUGAUGAUUUUGAUAUCUUAACCUGGUGGAAGGCAAACUCACUAAAAUAUCCUGUACUCUCACACAUAGCACGUGAUGUGUUAGCCAUUCCAGCAUCAACGGUUCCAUCUGAAAAUGCUUUCAGUACAGGAGGGAGGGUAAUCAAUGACUACAGAAGUAGAUUGACGCCUGAGAUAGUUGAGGCUCUCAUUUGUCUACAGGAUUGGAUGAGAGUCGUUGAUUGCCCUUCUGUUGGGAUGGUCUUAUCACAAGAAGAAGAAACUUGAUGCCUUGAUAGGUUGUGGAAAAUUUCAGUGCUUCCUGGUGUGGACCAUGUCGUGUCAUUGCACCUAUUUAUGCUGAGAUGUCAAAGACUUAUCCUCAACUCAUGUUCUUGACAAUAGAUAUGUUGAUGACCUAAUGAUAAUUGUAACCAUUUGUUUGGUCAAAUCUGCUAUUGAAAAAUGAUUAGUUUCAGUUUUUUAUGAACCAAGAAACCCCUUAUGCAUCUGAUGGCGAUGAUUUUAUCAAUAGUAUCAUUUACCUGUAUAACUGACUCUGCAUCCUCAGCUCUACAAUUUGCUUGUAUUUGUUCGAUUUCAGCUGAUGUCAAAUGAUUAAUCAUCUACGAAUUUUUGGUUUGUA